rnacentral:rRNA from 1 species
AUAAUGGGAUUAGAUACCCCAGUAGUCCCGGACGGGUGAGUAACGCGUGAGUAACCUGCCCCCCACUCUGGGAUAAGCCUGGGAAACUGGGUCUAAUACUGGAUAUGACAACGGAUCGCAUGGUUUGUUGUGGAAAGAAUUUUGGUGGGGGAUGGACUCGCGGACUAUCAGCUUGUUGGUGGGGUAGUGGCCUACCAAGGCUUUGACGGUUAGCCGGCCUGAGAGGGCGACCGGCCACACUGGGACUGAGACACGGCCCAGACUCCUACGGGAGGCAGCAGUGGGAAUAUUGCACAAUGGGCGAAAGCCUGAUGCAGCGACGCCGCGUGCGGGAUGACGGCCUUCGGGUUGUAAACCGCUUUCAGCAGGGACGAAGCGAAAGUGACGGUACCUGCAGAAGAAGCACCGGCUAACUACGUGCCAGCAGCCGCGGUAAUACGUAGGGUGCGAGCGUUGUCCGGAAUUAUUGGGCGUAAAGAGCUUGUAGGCGGUUUGUCGCGUCUGCUGUGAAAGCCCGGGGCUUAACUCCGGGUCUGCAGUGGGUACGGGCAGACUAGAGUGUGGUAGGGGAGACUGGAAUUCCUGGUGUAGCGGUGAAAUGCGCAGAUAUCAGGAGGAACACCGAUGGCGAAGGCAGGUCUCUGGGCCAUUACUGACGCUGAGAAGCGAAAGCAUGGGGAGCGA